rnacentral:lncRNA from 1 species
CAGACUCCUCCUGUAGCAGCGGAAAAUUCAAAAUCCAAGCUCAGACAGGACUAAAAGCCUCGGGGCGGGGAUGGAGUGGAGAAAGGCUGGGAGAUAGCAGUCAUUCUAAGAUUACUGUGAUGGGACCUGCCAUGCAAUGAGUCCCCAGCCUUUCCAGGAGGCGCACGCACUGCACCAGAGGACAUCAGGCCCGCGUCCCAGACUGUCGCUGCACAGGAUUGAGAGAGGGAGAGCUCGUCCGCGUGCAGCGUUGUCCAGACACUGCCAAGUUGAGCUGUAGGAGUACAGCUGGCGGAGGACUGAGGGUAAGAGCCUAGCAGGAAGGGCUGAAUCAGAGGACUCUUGCUAGGUUCUCUCGCAGAGAACUCUCAGGGCUGCAGGGGCGGACCUCACUGCUGCCUCCCCAUUUCCUCCUCAACUGCCUGUGGACUCCUCACUGCCUUCCUUUGCCCUACCAGGAGGCUCUAGAAAAAGCCAAUCAGUGUGGGUAUGGGGCUGGAUAGUUUCCAAAUUGACCUACCUGUGGGACAGAAAUCAAUUUAAUUGACCCUGUUCUUAAAAGAAAUGAAAUAGAAGAGACAACACCAGUGUGAAAAACAAGCAUCAGGUAAGCAUUGUGUGGGGGAGUUUCUUCAUCUACGUGUGUGUGUGUGUGUGUGUGUUACGUGU